rnacentral:lncRNA from 1 species
CGCAGCCCCAGCUGGGAAGGAGCAGGUGAAACGGCGGCAGGAGGAGGCGAUUCCCCGCGGGCGGGUGUUGCGUGCCGGCCUCCGCCUCCCGCGGCCGUGGGUUUUCCCCCGCGUUCGUUUGCAGCCCUUCCCUCUCCUCCGCGAGCGGGGCCCGGCUGCGGCCCGGCGCUCACCCACAGCCCUGCUCGCCCCCAGCACGGUGCUGGUGCUGCCCGCAUCCGCCUUCCUGGGAGCCGGCACGGCCAAGCUUGGGCUGGAUGCAGCUUAGAGCCUCCAGCACCUGCAAAUGGGAACCAUGCUACGGCCAUCCCCGAGGCGUCUGGGCUCCUAUCUGCCAGCCGGGAAGGGGGAGGUGGAGAGACGCAGCCGGGCCGGGGCUUCCCCUCCGCAGGCGCGGGGAGCCUGCCGAGCGCUAGAUCCGGAGCGGGGGGACACAGGGAGGGGGAACCUGCCCACCCACCUCGCCAAGCCAACUGGGGCAAAAUCCAGGCCGCCGCCGCCGCCACCGCCCCGAGAUGCGGCGCGGGGCUCCGGCAGCAGCUUCGCUCCGCAGGGAACGAGCCACCCUGUCCGCCCACGCCCCAUCCCGCGUUUCAGCGCUGGCAGCGCUCCUGUCCGCCCCGCUCUCCCCCCGGAGCCAUUCCUCCCCAGGCGGUGCGGUGGUGCUGCGGGUGCCACCGUGGCCCUUGGCAUCCCGCGGGACCUCGGCUGUCCUCGCGCGGCUGCCCGCAGCCCCUCUCCAAAGCGAUAAAUAAAAGUAUCCACCGGGAGAUGCUGCAUACGCUGCUAGGCCGGCUUGGGAGUGAGCAUCCAGGCGGCUCCGGAGCGAGCGGCUCGGGCACCAACUGGCCAAACCCGCCCAGCGUUUUGGCCUCCUUCCUCUGUUUUUCUAGCCCGUUCUUCACCUCUCCCCCUCCUCAUCCUCCGCCGCCCGUGGAGGCCGGGCUGGGGCACCUGGAAGCCCGUCUCUCCCAGGAAGCAGCUAACCGCAGCGGGCUCAGCCCUGCGGGAAGGGCAGGCGUCGGAGCAAACCUGUCGUGCCAGGAGCCGGCAUCGCCGCCUGGCACCUGCAUGGGACGGUGGAGAAAAUCCACCACCCAGCGAGAGGGUGCGAGCGGCCAAGGCGAUGACCGUGCAGGUGCUGCUUUCGCCGCGCAGGGGGCCAAGGAGAAAGGAAGCAUUUCUCCUCCGCGCCUCGUCUGCGCUCCGGUGCCGCGGCCGGGAGCACAAAGGAGAGGCUUUGUCUGCGAGGGAAGCGGUGCGGAGCCGGGCGGCAGAUGUGACGCUUCGGGAAGAUUUAUUUUCCCCCGAACAAUAAUAAACGGGACCCUUUGCACACAUGAGCAGCUGCAGUGCUCCUGGCCACGCUGCAGGCACUCGCCAGCCCGCGGCAGCGCCAGCGGCUCGGCCCUGUGCCCCUCGCCGGGGCGUCGCGCUGGGAGCGGGGCGAGCGGAGAGGACGGCCGCCGGGCGCGGGGAGCGAGGCCAGGCACCGCGAGCAGCACCGCACCGUCACGCAGCUCCGGCUCCUAA